CAAGAAGUAGUUUACUGAGAACACAGGCUUUGGAAGCCUGAAGAGGGGGUUAAAACCCCUCCUUUUUGA
rnacentral:tRNA from 1 species